UACGGAGGGUGCAAGCGUUAAUCGGAAUUACUGGGCGUAAAGCGCACGCAGGUGGCUGAGCGAGUCGAUUGUGAAAGCCCUGGGCUUAACCUGGGAAUUGCAGUCGAUACUACUCAGCUAGAGUAUGGGAGAGGGUAGUGGAAUUCCCGGUGUAGCGGUGAAAUGCGUAGAUAUCCGGAGGAACACCAGUGGCGAAGGCGACUUUCUGGCCUGUUCUUGACGCUGAGGCGCGAAAGCUAGGGGAGCAAACGGG
rnacentral:rRNA from 1 species